CUACCCCAGAGUUUGGAAUAACCUGCCGAAAGGCGGGCUAAUACUGGAUAGAGCGACGGAAUCCGUAAUCGGAUUUUUCGGGAAAGGGAGCCUGUAAGGGCCCUCGCUUUGGGAUGAGCCUGCGUCUCAUUAGCUAGUUGGUGAGGUAACAGCUCACCAAGGCUUUGAUGAGUAGCUGGUCUGAGAGGAUGAUCAGCCACACUGGAACUGAAACACGGUCCAG
rnacentral:rRNA from 1 species